AUAAUAACCAAAAAUACCCAAAUAUUAUUAUAAUACAAUUAAAAAGUAAAUAAAAAUAGGAAAAUAUCACUUUAUAUGCUCAGAAGACUGAAAAAUUAGGUGUAGGAAUUGUGGACUAUUUCAACAGUAAAAGAACUAAUGAAGUUACU
rnacentral:sRNA from 1 species